rnacentral:rRNA from 1 species
GAUGAACGCUGGCGGCGUGCCUAAUACAUGCAAGUCGAGCGAACGGACGAGAAGCUUGCUCCUCUGAUGUUAGCGGCGGACGGGUGAGUAACACGUGGAUAACCUACCUAUAAGACUGGGAUAACUUCGGGAAACCGUAGCUAAUACCGGAUAAUAUUUUGAACCGCAUGGUUCAAUAGUGAAAGACGGUCUUGCUGUCACUUAUAGAUGGAUCCGCGCUGCAUUAGCUAGUUGGUAAGGUAACGGCUUACCAAGGCAACGAUGCAUAGCCGACCUGAGAGUGUGAAAGGCAAAAAUGGACAUGCGACACGGUCCGGAGUCGUCCGGGAGGAUGCAGGAGGGAGUAGUCCGGAAUGGGCGAGAGCCUGACGGAGCAAGGACGCGUAAAUGAUGAAGGUCUUAGGAACGUAAAACUCUGUUAAUAGGGAAAAACAAAUGUGUAAGUAACUGUGCACGUCUUGGCGGGAGCUAAUCAGAGAGCCACGGCUAGCUACGUG